UUGAGUUAAGGGGCCGUGUUCAUUUCACGGAAUUCUGUGAGACCAGGUUAAAUAUGUAGUCGUAGCCAGGAAAACAUACAUGCUGUUCAGAAAAUGAAAUUACUGCUGGUCAGCCUUCAAUGUGGAGAGAAGAUCAGAAUAUAACAACACAGCUAUCAGGGCAUGAGGAGGAGGCAGGAGGAAACAGCUUGGCUGUGAAUAGACC